UACGUAGGGGGCAAGCGUUAUCCGGAAUUACUGGGUGUAAAGGGUGAGUAGGCGGCAUGGUAAGCCAGAUGUGAAAGCCUUGGGCUUAACCCGAGGAUUGUAUUUGGAACUAUCAAGCUAGAGUACAGGAGAGGAAAGCGGAAUUCCUAGUGUAGCGGUGAAAUGCGUAGAUAUUAGGAAGAACACCAGUGGCGAAGGCGGCUUUCUGGACUGAAACUGACGCUGAGGCACGAAAGCGUGGGGAGCGAACAGG
rnacentral:rRNA from 1 species